UGCAAGUCGAACGAUGAACCACCUUCGGGUGGGGAUUAGUGGCGAACGGGUGAGUAACACGUGGGCAAUCUGCCCUGCACUCUGGGACAAGCCCUGGAAACGGGGUCUAAUACCGGAUACUGACCUGCCAAGGCAUCUUGGCGGGUCGAAAGCUCCGGCGGUGCAGGAUGAGCCCGCGGCCUAUCAGCUUGUUGGUGAGGUAAUGGCUCACCAAGGCGACGACGGGUAGCCGGCCUGAGAGGGCGACCGGCCACACUGGGACUGAGACACGGCCCAGACUCCUACGGGAGGCAGCAGUGGGGAAUAUUGCACAAUGGGCGAAAGCCUGAUGCAGCGACGCCGCGUGAGGGAUGACGGCCUUCGGGUUGUAAACCUCUUUCAGCAGGGAAGAAGCGAAAGUGACGGUACCUGCAGAAGAAGCGCCGGCUAACUACGUGCCAGCAGCCGCGGUAAUACGUAGGGCGCAAGCGUUGUCCGGAAUUAUUGGGCGUAAAGAGCUCGUAGGCGGCUUGUCGCGUCGGUUGUGAAAGCCCGGGGCUUAACCCCGGGUCUGCAGUCGAUACGGGCAGGCUAGAGUUCGGUAGGGGAGAUCGGAAUUCCUGGUGUAGCGGUGAAAUGCGCAGAUAUCAGGAGGAACACCGGUGGCGAAGGCGGAUCUCUGGGCCGAUACUGACGCUGAGGAGCGAAAGCGUGGGGAGCGAACAGGAUUAGA
rnacentral:rRNA from 1 species